rnacentral:rRNA from 1 species
UACGGGGGGGGCAAGCGUUGUUCGGAAUUACUGGGCGUAAAGGACUCGUAGGCGGCCAACUAAGUCGGACGUGAAAUCCCUCGGCUUAACCGGGGAACUGCGUCCGAUACUGGAUGGCUUGAGUUCGGGAGAGGGAUGCGGAAUUCCAGGUGUAGCGGUGAAAUGCGUAGAUAUCUGGAGGAACACCGGUGGCGAAGGCGGCAUCCUGGACCGACACUGACGCUGAGGAGCGAAAGCCAGGGGAGCAAACGGG